rnacentral:misc_RNA from 1 species
UGGUUCUCGCAUCGAUGAAGAACGCAGCGAAACGCGAUAGGUAAUGUGAAUUGCAGAAUUCCGUGAAUCAUCGAAUCUUUGAACGCACAUUGCGCCCAUCGGUAUUCCUUUGGGCAUGUCUGUUUGAGCGUCAGCAAUUACUCUCAGUCAUUACUUUUGUAUGACCGGAUUUGGGCUGUGGCACUGGGCUACCAGCGCCCGCCUUAAACUUGCUGCAUGACCGCCAGCCCUAGCUGGGUCAAUGGAGUGGUGUUACAAUCUUCCAGAAGGCCUCAGCUGCUGCUGUGCGGCGUUAAAUCUGCUGUCCCUUUGGGACCUAAGUUUUGACCUCAGAUCAGAUAAGGAUACCCGCUGA